UCAGAGCACUAGUUGCUAUCGUCUCUCAUGCUAACAUCUUCUGUCGGUGGAAUCUGGGUUUAGGCUUGUCGCUAUGCGGUGCAGAUGAGGAUGUGUUAGGAGAUACAGGUGGGGGAGUUCCUUGAUUUUCUUUAGGAUUAGUUAUGGUGAAGGAUUUUUCGGGAAGGUUUUGGGGAUUUUGGAGAUUUUUAGAGAGAAGAAGUAUGAUCAGAGAUUUAGC
rnacentral:lncRNA from 1 species